rnacentral:rRNA from 1 species
UACGUAGGGUGCGAGCGUUGUCCGGAAUUAUUGGGCGUAAAGAGCUCGUAGGCGGUCUGUCGCGUCGGUCGUGAAAACUUGGGGCUUAACCCUGAGCUUGCGGUCGAUACGGGCAUGACUGGAGUUCGGCAGGGGAGACUGGAAUUCCUGGUGUAGCGGUGAAAUGCGCAGAUAUCAGGAGGAACACCGGUGGCGAAGGCGGGUCUCUGGGACGUAACUGACGCUGAGACGCGAAAGCGUGGGGAGCAAACAGG